ACUUGGUGAUGUCGGCAUUUGUGCAAGAGGUCCCUAAAGCGCUCCCAUGUCUCAAAAAGCUUUUCCCCAUCCAAUUGCGAGAAACUAGCGAUUGCCUUCCUCAUCU